rnacentral:rRNA from 1 species
AGGAUGAACGCUGGCGGCGUGCUUAACACAUGCAAGUCGAACGGUGAAGUGAGGAGCUUGCUCCUUGCGGAUCAGUGGCGAACGGGUGAGUAACACGUGAGUAACCUGCCCUUGACUCUGGGAUAAGCGUUGGAAACGACGUCUAAUACCGGAUACGACCUCCGAAGGCAUCUUCUGGAGGUGGAAAGAAUUUCGGUCAAGGAUGGACUCGCGGCCUAUCAGCUAGUUGGUGAGGUAAUGGCCCACCAAGGCGACGACGGGUAGCCGGCCUGAGAGGGUGACCGGCCACACUGGGACUGAGACACGGCCCAGACUCCUACGGGAGGCAGCAGUGGGGAAUAUUGCACAAUGGGCGCAAGCCUGAUGCAGCAACGCCGCGUGAGGGACGACGGCCUUCGGGUUGUAACCUCUUUAGUAGGGAAGAAGCGAAGUGACGGUACCUGCAGAAAAGCACCGGCUAACUACGUGCCAGCAGCCGCGGU